UUAGAAGAUAGUUACAGAUGGAUUGUAAUGCAAGAGUAUUAUAUAUGAAGCCUAGGUAAAAGUAAGGUACUUUAUAUGUGACUUUUACAUCAGACAUUUCGAAAUACUUCCUCAUACACCACAUUAGAUGUCAGAUUUGUGUCAUCACCAUCUUCAUCGGUGAUCAAUAUCUUCAAACCUCCUCUAGAUGUAACUCUCGAAACAGCAACAUACAAUUGUCCGUGAGAAAAAACAGGCGCCGGGAGAUAUACUCCAACAUUUUGUAGUGAUUGUCCUUGACUCUUGUUGAUUGUCAUUGCAAAUGAUACAGGCAAAGGAAAUUGUUUUCUUUGAAAUUUAAAAGGGAUUCUCACAUCGGAGGGUGAUAGAGAUAGCCUAGGUAUAAAGACUCUGUCACCCACAUUACUUCCGGAAAUUACCUUGACCUCUAAGACAUAUCUUCCCAUUCUAGUUAUAAUAAGUCUG
rnacentral:lncRNA from 1 species